GACGAACGCUGGCGGCGUGCUUAACACAUGCAAGUCGAACGGAAAGGCCCUGCUUUUGUGGGGUGCUCGAGUGGCGAACGGGUGAGUAACACGUGAGUAACCUACCCUUGACUUUGGGAUAACUUCAGGAAACUGGGGCUAAUACCGGAUAGGAGCUCCUGCUGCAUGGUGGGGGUUGGAAAGGUUCGGCGGUUGGGGAUGGACUCGCGGCUUAUCAGCUUGUUGGUGGGGUAGUGGCUUACCAAGGCUUUGACGGGUAGCCGGCCUGAGAGGGUGACCGGCCACAUUGGGACUGAGAUACGGCCCAGACUCCUACGGGAGGCAGCAGUGGGGAAUAUUGCACAAUGGGCGGAAGCCUGAUGCAGCAACGCCGCGUGCGGGAUGACGGCCUUCGGGUUGUAAACCGCUUUCGCCUGUGACGAAGCGUGAGUGACGGUAAUGGGUAAAGAAGCACCGGCUAACUACGUG
rnacentral:rRNA from 1 species